AAUAGAUACCCGGGUAGUCCACGCCGUAAACGAUGAGUGCUAAGUGUUAGAGGGUUUCCGCCCUUUAGUGCUGCAGCUAACGCAUUAAGCACUCCGCCUGGGGAGUACGGCCGCAAGGCUGAAACUCAAAGGAAUUGACGGGGGCCCGCACAAGCGGUGGAGCAUGUGGUUUAAUUCGAAGCAACGCGAAGAACCUUACCAGGUCUUGACAUCCUCUGCCAACCCUAGAGAUAGGGUGUUCCCCUUCGGGGGACAGAGUGACAGGUGGUGCAUGGUUGUCGUCAGCUCGUGUCGUGAGAUGUUGGGUUAAGUCCCGCAACGAGCGCAACCCUUGAUCUUAGUUGCCAGCAUUUAGUUGGGCACUCUAAGGUGACUGCCGGUGACAAACCGGAGGAAGGUGGGGAUGACGUCAAAUCAUCAUGCCCCUUAUGACCUGGGCUACACACGUGCUACAAUGGAUGGUACAAAGAGCUGCGAACCCGCGAGGGUAAGCCAAUCUCAUAAAGCCAUUCUCAGUUCGGA
rnacentral:rRNA from 1 species